CUCAUGAUAGUGAGGAAGUUCUCAUGAGACCUGAUGGUUUAAAAGUGGCAGUUUCCCCUGCACUUUCUCUCUCCUACCACCUUGUGAAGAAGGUACUAAAUUCUCCUUUGCCUUCUGCCAUGACCGUAAGUUUCCUGAGGCAUUCCCAGGCAUGCGGAACUGUGGCCUGCACACCAAUGAAACUACUGAUAUCAGCUGUUCUGAAGAAACCCAGAAGAGACUGAAUCACCAAAGAGUGCAGUUUCCACAUCCUGAUGAUUUUAUCAUCCUUACUCUGACCAAACAGUGACCUCAAUUUUACAGCCCCUCACACCCUAUAAUCAUCCUAAAAACUUCAGCCCAGAACUCCUCAGGAGGAUAAUUUGAGGGUUUCUCCCAUUUCCUUAUUUGGCUGCCCUGUAAUCAUUAAACACUUUCUCUGCUGCAAACCCUGUUGUCUUGGUGUAUUGGUCUGUUACUGUGCAGCAGGCAUUAUGAACCUAGCGGUCCUACAAUAUCAGAGUGUGAAACCACUGGCCAGAGAGUUCUGGAUCUAAAUUCUGAUUUUCCCAUUUAUUGGCACUGUGAUUUUGGAC
rnacentral:lncRNA from 10 species